rnacentral:tRNA from 1 species
UUAAACUUAGACUAAUUAAGUCAUAAGAUUCAUAAUCUUAAAAUUUUAGUUUAUA